CCUACGGGUGGCAGCAGUGAGGAAUAUUGGUCAAUGGGCGUAAGCCUGAACCAGCCAAGUCGCGUGAGGGAUGAAGGCUCUAUGGAUCGUAAACCUCUUUUAUAAGGGAAUAAAGUGCGGGACGUGUCCCGCUUUGUAUGUACCUUAUGAAUAAGGAUCGGCUAACUCCGUGCCAGCAGCCGCGGUAAUACGGAGGAUCCGAGCGUUAUCCGGAUUUAUUGGGUUUAAAGGGUGCGUAGGCGGCUUUUUAAGUCAGGGGUGAAAGUGUGGGGCUCAACCAUAGAAUUGCCGUUGAAACUGGGAGGCUUGAGUAUGUUAGAGGCAGGCGGAAGGCGUGGUGUAGCGGUGAAAUGCUUAGAGAUCACGCAGAACCCCGAUUGCGAAGGCAGCCUGCCGGGCCAUGACUGACGCUGAUGCACGAAAGCGUGGGGAUCAAACAGGAUUAGAUACCCUUGUAGUC
rnacentral:rRNA from 1 species